AGGAGGUGUAACCUGCGUCGCAGCUGCCAGCAUCGCCUGGCUUGAAAAGGUCAGCUCCCCAGGCACAGGUGGCAAUGUCAUCAGCUGAGUGCACGGGGGGCCUCUGGAGUGCAUGGGCAGCAGGAGGUUGGCAUUUUUGUGGAUGAAUACCACUGGGAGUUGAGGACUUGCUGUGACUCUCACUCUUACUUAUAGGAGUUUUGCCUGCAGCAGUCACAUAGUUGAAAAAUAUGGAUCCAUGUGACUGCUAAGAGACCACUGAGAAGCCAAUGUCCAAGUGUUUUCAAAACUGGACAAAUUCAUGGAGGAAGAAACCAUGGGAUGCUACUGAGAAAAAGGCACUGCUGCUGAUUUAGGAUAUUCUUGCACUGGUUGCUGGAG
rnacentral:lncRNA from 1 species